ACUGGGCGGCGGACGGGUGAGUAACGCGUGGGUAACCUGCCUCAUACAGGGGGAUAACAGUUGGAAACGGCUGCUAAUACCGCAUAAGCGCACAGUACCGCAUGGUACGGUGUGAAAAACUCCGGUGGUAUGAGAUGGACCCGCGUCUGAUUAGGUAGUUGGUGGGGUAACGGCCUACCAAGCCGACGAUCAGUAGCCGACCUGAGAGGGUGACCGGCCACAUUGGGACUGAGACACGGCCCAA
rnacentral:rRNA from 1 species